rnacentral:rRNA from 1 species
UACGAAGGGUGCAAGCGUUACUCGGAAUUACUGGGCGUAAAGCGUGCGUAGGUGGUUUGUUAAGUCUGAUGUGAAAGCCCUGGGCUCAACCUGGGAAUUGCAUUGGAUACUGGCAGGCUAGAGUGCGGUAGAGGAUGGCGGAAUUCCCGGUGUAGCAGUGAAAUGCGUAGAGAUCGGGAGGAACACCGGUGGCGAAGGCGGGUCUCUGGGCCGAUACUGACGCUGAGGAGCGAAGCGUGGGGAGCGAACAGG